ACGGGAGGCAGCAGUGGGGAAUAUUGCACAAUGGGGGAAACCCUGAUGCAGCGACGCCGCGUGAGUGAAGAGGUAUUUCGGUAUGUAAAGCUCUAUCAGCAGGGAAGAAAAUGACGGUACCUGACUAAGAAGCCCCGGCUAACUACGUGCCAGCAGCCGCGGUAAUACGUAGGGGGCGAGCGUUAUCCGGAUUUACUGGGUGUAAAGGGCGCGUAGGCGGGGAUGCAAGUCAGGUGUGAAAUCUAUGGGCUUAACUCAUAAACUGCACUUGAAACUGUAUCUCUUGAGUGCUGGAGAGGUAGAUGGAAUUCCUUGUGUAGCGGUGAAAUGCGUAGAUAUAAGGAAGAACACCAGUGGCGAAGGCGAUCUACUGGACAGUAACUGACGCUCAUGCUCGAAGGUGUGGGAAUCAAACAGGAUUAGAUACCCUGGUA
rnacentral:rRNA from 1 species